rnacentral:rRNA from 1 species
AGAAUCAACGCUGGCGGCGUGCCUAACACACGCAAGUCGCACGAGAAAGGGGAGCAAUCCCUGAGUACAGUGGCGCACGGGUGAGUAACACGUGAAUAAUCUACCUCCGAGUGGGGAAUAACUGAGAGAAAUCUUAGCUAAUACCGCAUAAUACCCACGGGUCAAAGCAGCAAUGCGCUUGGAGAGGAGUUCGCGGCAGAUUAGUUAGUUGGCGGGGUAAUGGCCCACCAAGACGAUGAUCUGUAUCCGGCCUGAGAGGGCGCACGGACACACUGGAACUGAAACACGGUCCAGACUCCUACGGGAGGCAGCAGUGGGGAAUUUUGCGCAAUGGGGGAAACCCUGACGCAGCAACGCCGCGUGGAGGAUGAAGCCCCUUGGGGUGUAAACUCCUUUCGAUCGGGAAGAUAAUGACGGUACCGAUAUAAGAAGCCCCGGCUAACUUCGCGCCAGCAGCCGC